UGGGUCCUGGAAGCCCCUCACAUCCCUGGCAUCUGGGAAUUUCUAGUGGUUGCCCCUUCUCUGUGUUCCCCACUCUCUCUGCUACUUACUUCUAUUCAUCCUCCUCACCCUCUGGAUUUCUCGCCAGUCUCUUCCCAUACCUGACCCUGUCUCCACCCCCUCCUCAUUUUUCUGCCCUGUCUUCUUUCACUCAAGAUCCUCCCGCCCUCUGCCUCACACGAUUAUUUUGUUCCCCCUUCUACAUAGGACUGAAACAUCCACACUUUGGCCUUUCUUCUUUCUAAGUUUCAUAAGGUCUGUGAGUUACAACAUAGGUAUUCUGAGGAUUUGAGCUAAUGUACACUUAUCAGUAAUUACAUGUCAAGUAUAUCUUUUCGGUCUGCAUUACCUCACUCUGGAUGAUAUUUUCUACUUCCAUCAAUUUGCCUGAAAAAUUUGCGAAGUUGUCCUUUUAAAUCUGAGUAGAAUUCCAUUGUGUAAAUGUACCACAUUUUUUCUAUCCAUUCUUCUGUUGAGGGACAUGUGGGUUGUUUCCAGCUUCUGGUUAUUAGAAAAAAGGCUGCAAUGAACAUAGUGUGUCAUGUGUCUUUGUUAAAUAUUGGACCUUAUUUUGGGAAUAUGUCCAGUAAUGUUGGUUUAGAUGGGUCUUCAAGUAAAACUAUGUCCAAUUCUCUGACCAACCACAAGACAGAUUGUCAAAGUGGUAGAACCAGUUUGCUAACCAGCAGCAAUAGGGAAUCUAAUAUUGCCUGAGUUUUUCUGAUUGGUGUAAGGUGUAAUCUCAGGGUCAUUUUGAUUUGCAUUUCCCUGGUGACUAAGGAUAUUGAAUAUUUCUUUAGGUGCUUCUUUGCCAUUGAGAUUCUUCAGUUUCAAAUUCUCUAUUUUUGCACCACAUUAUUUGUGAUUUUUGGUUUUCUGGAGGUUAGCUUCUUGAGUUUUUUAUAUAUUUUGGAUAUUAACCUACUUUUGGAUGUGGAGAGUUUAGUGAAGAGUUUCCCCCAAUCUGUACAUUGCUGAUUUGUCCAAGUAACUGUGUCUUUUGAAUUAUAGAUUCUUUACAGUUUCAUGAGUUACCAAUUAUCUUUUGUUGAUCUUAGAGCCUGAGCUACUGGAGUUCUGUUUAGAAAAUUUCCCCCUGUAUCAAUGAGUUUGAGGCUCUUCCCCACUUUCUCUUCUCUUAGAUUCAGAGUAUCUGGCCAUUAUAAAUAAGGCUUCUCUGAACAUAGGGGAGCAUAUGUACUUUUUAAAUGUUGGAGCCUCUUUUGGGUAUAUGCGCAGGAGUGGUAUAACUGGCUCCUUAGGUAGUACUAUGUCCAAUUUUCUGAGGAACUGCCAGAAUAAUUUCCUGAGUGGUUGUACCAACUUGCAAUUUCACCAAAAAUGGAGGAGUGUUCCUCUUUCUCCACAUCCUCGCCAGAAUCUGAUGUCACUUUAGUUUUGAUCUUAGCCAUUCUUUCUGGUGUGAGGUGGAAUUCAGGUUUCUUUUGAUUUGCCUGUCCCUGAUGACAAGGAUAUUGCAAUUUAUGAGGUCCCAUUUAUGGAUUCUUGAUCUUAGAGCAUAAGUCAUUGGUGUUCUGUUCAGUGAAUUUUUUCCUUUGCCCAAGAAUUUGGACUCUUCCCCACUAUUUCUUUUAAUAGUUUCAGUGUAUCUGGUAUUAUGUGCAGGUCCUUGAUCUACUUGGACUUUAGUUUUGUAUAGAGAGAUAAGAAUGUAUCCAUUUGCAUUCUUCUAGAUGCUGACUGCCAGUUGAACCUGCCUCAUUUGUUGAAAGUGCUGUCCUUUUUUUGUUUGGUAGUUUUAGCUUCUUUGUCAAAGAUCAAGUGACCACAGGUCUAUGGGUUACUUUCUUGGUCUUUAGUUCUAUUCUACUGAUCUUUCUGCCUUCUCUGUAAUAAUACCAUGCAGUUUUAAUCAUGAUUGCUCUGUAAUACAGCUUGAGAUCAGGGAUGGUGAUUUCCCCAGAAGUUCUUUUCUUGUUGAGUAAAUUAUUUCUAUCCUGGAUUUUUUUGUUCCAAAUCAAUUUCCAAAUUGCUCUUUCUAACUCUAUGAAUUACUCAUAUUUUUAAAGGUUUCUAUAAUGUUCUUCAGAUAGGAAUGUAGGUCAGUAUCAUGCUAUUCACAUAUGUUGGGAAGCUCAUGACUCCCUGUGGUGGGAGAGCUGGAUUUUGAUGGUGUUAAAAUAUAUCGGCUUCUGCUGCUUAGGAUCUUGUGUUUGCCUCUCACUAUCUGGUUAUCUCUGGUGUUAGCUGUCCUGGGUGACUCUGUGUGGAGCCUGCCUCCAGUGUUUUUCAGUUGCUGCAGAUCUCCUGGGUGAUCUGUGUUCCUGGGUGCAGCCAAUCUCCUGGGAGAUUUAUAGACUAUUACCCUGGUUUCAGCACAUUUCCUGGGAGCCCUGCAGACUGAUACCCUGGGUGCAGUAGAUCUCUAUUGAGUUCUCUACACUGUGUGGUGUUGAAGGUCAAUGGAAGCCAGGCUUAUCUGCUUGCACAGAGGUGCAGACUGAAAGAGAGAUGUCUUUCAUGCAUAGGGAAGGGGUCCCAUUUCUGCUGGGCACAUUAGUGUUCUCACAAGCUGCAAUCAGUAGGGUGGAUAUCCUAAUUUUUGUUCUGUCUGCAGCAGAUUUCCUGAGAGCCUUCCUGAAUGUUUGCUGUCAAAAGAGGUGGGGGGAGGCAGGCUGACCUGUCCCCAAGCAGGUACAGAUCAGAAGAAAGCUACAAUUCUUAUUUUACAUUCUUCCAUAGAACAGACCAAAAGUUCUAAGCAUUUAAAGAUAUUGAAUUUGUAAAAUUCCUAUACUUUAUUUCAUAAAACUACAUGAGUAAAUCCAUCAUAGGUGAACAUGGUGCCAAUUUCUAUAUCAGUUACUAUUAUAAUACUAUGAGAAACACGCAAAACAACUUGUGGAUAAAACAAUUGUUGUACCCUAUACUUCUUGGUAGCUGAUUAUCACUAAGGGAUGUUAUGGCAAAAAAAUCAAGGCAGGAAGUCAAGGCAGGAAGUCAAGACAAGAUGUAAACCAGAAGCCAUUGGAGCAAAGGUGUGUAAUGCUUGCUUCCAAUACCUUCUUCAGUCUGCUUUCUUCCAUAGCUCUGGACAACUUUCGCAGAGAUUGCACCACACACAUUGUGUUGAGACCACUCUACAUCAAUCCUUAAUGACGAAAAUGCUCUCUAUAUUUCUCUACAUAUCAAUAUGAUAAACUUAUUUCUAAUGCCUGAUUUCUCUCCCCAGAUGAACACAUAUUUUUUUAAUUUGAAAAAAGAUGAAAGCAAAUCCAAAUAAACCCAUUCAGCAUAAUAGAUACACGGAGAUUCAAAACUAACAUGAAAAAUAAGAUAAAACAUGCUAUGUUCUUAUUUCAGGUUCUCUACUAUCAGAGUGAAUAUUCCAACUCAAUUCAUGUUUUAGAAAUUUUAUAUACUUUAGCAAAUGAAUAGCAUUCCAUUUUAAAGUGUAUCACAUCUUAGUCAUUUGUUUAUCAUUUGAUGAAAUUCUACAUUGCUUACAUUUCAGAGACAUUGUGACUAGAAUAACAAUGAGUGUGAAUGAGUUUUUAACUUUAUAGUAGGAUACUGUUAUAUAGUCAAGUGUAAAAUAGCUGGAUAUAUGGUAGUUAUAAUUAUUGCUUUUUGAAGACUCUCCGCAAUGUUUUCAAUAGUGCCUACAAGAGUUUGUACCUUAAUAGACAGUGACGUAUGGUCCCAUUUUUGCAGCAUCCUCAUCAGAAUUUGGAAUAAUUUGUUUCAUGAAACAAAGCUAUUGUCACUGGUAAAGUCAAGUAUCAAGGUACCUUUAAUUUUCAUUUUCAUGAUGGCUAAGGAUAUGGCACAAUUUUUGUGUUUCUUAGAAUUUUCAUUUUAUUUUUGGAGAACUCGGUUUAAUUGUAUACCCAUUGGUAUUAGAGUUUUGCUGCCCCCAUCACUGCUCACCUCAUUGCAGCCACUCUUGUUUAUUUGGCAUGCAACCCCAUAUUUUCAUCCUUCUGAUGUAUCUGCUGUAUCUAUUCCAAAAAUAUUAUGUCUUUUCCUUUCAUCUUCAAUCAUUUGUGAGUCCUCCAUCAUCUUGUAGCCAUAUGUCUUUUUCCCUGUUCUAUAUCAAUAUGUGAUAAAGUAUUUUUGUGUGAUUCUUUUUUAUUUGUGUCAAACACCAAAGGAAAAAGAACUCGUUUAUCAGACAAUUGAUAUGCUCUGUAUAUAGUAUAAAGACCAUUACAUCUGCAUUUUUCUCAUGGGCUCUUUUAAGCUAAAAGGCCCAGUACCUGAUUUCUUUCAUUUUUUUGAAUUUCUAUUAUCUCCCCUAGGAACAAUUUCUUUGACUGAGAAAGAAUGAAUGUGAAUCCCCACCCAAUGUCUUGAACACUGAGUUAACACUGUUUUAGGAUAUAAUGGAAACAUCACAAUGUAGAAACUAACCAGAAGUGGACCACAGAUAUAAGACCUUGCAGGCUCUUAGCCAUUAAAUCUUGUCAGAUCUCAGUAAUGCAUGCGUGUAGUCUUAUAUCUUUGCAAUGAUUUAUCUCUCAGUAUCUCAAAUAUUUAGUGUUCUUGGUCACUCUCUCUAACUUUACUGUUACCUUCAAGCUAUUGCUUGUGUUGUUGAUGUCACUGUUGGAAUUGUGAGCUAAUGUUGGAAAGCACAGGGAUUUUUCUGUUCUUUAUGAAAUCUAGCUCUCUCUGUCCUACCCAUAAUAAAGACCAGAAGAUACAUUGUUUUCUACUUAUUAGAGUGUUACAUUAUUUGUGUGUAUGUGGAAGAAUAUAGGUGAAAAGGGCUCAUGGUUAACCUAAAAAGAGUAGUGCUGACAUGAUCAAUACAUAGAUAGAAGAGGCCCAUAACAUGUAAAUGUGACACUAUAAAUCAACAAUAACAAGCCUUGGGUCAAUAUUCUUACCCUUGCUCAGUCUGUAUAACAUUUAUUGAGUCUUUAUAAGAAGUAUUAUUUCUACUUUGAUUCAUGAUAGAGUGUAGUUAUUAAAAAGCUCAUGGCAGACAGGGACUCAUAUCUCAGAAGCAGCUGUAGGCAAUGAGAUAUGGAGCAUAAUUAUAAGAGGCAUUUGGAUCAUUCAUGUCCUGGAGCAUAAGUGAGCUGUACAAGACUUUCCAUAGUAAAAAUUUACCAGCACUUAAUUGAUGGUUCUGGAUACAUAGUCUUGGGCCUAGGAAGUAAUGCUGUGUUAGAACAUAUAGGGAAAUGUACAGAGCAUUCAGUAUUUUAUGUAUCAGCCCACCUGAUAACAAAACUGGGGAUGAUUUCCUAAAACAUAUUGAGCAUGUCCUCAUCAAGAAAGCCUGAACAAAAAGGUGCAAAAUGUUUCAAUUAUUGUAUCAAAAUCCCCAGAUCACCUCAAUUUUGCUAAUCUCAGAUGAAUGUUCCACCAGCAUAAGUAAUCUAAAUAACCAUUACAAUUAACUUAUAAAGGCAUUUGGCUUUAUAAUGUCUUCUCCAAAGCAUGUCUGUGCUUUGUUUUCUUUUUGAAAAUUGCACCCUGCAAAAGUAUUCAAAAUAUUUAAGAGUUUUGUAUAUUUUUCCUAGAGAAAGCAGAGUUUGGAGAGAGAGGAUGAGUGACUCAUAAGUACAAAAAGGCUUGAAGUGGGAAGACACAAAGUUAAAAUGUUUGAGAAAAUCAUCAGCCACUUAUCUGAACUGUGAAAAAGAGCACUGUAAGCAUGUGAGAUGGCAGAGAUUGUAUAAAAAGCAAGAAAGAUGGAAACUAGUACCAGAAUGUUCUGAGUGGCUCUGGAUUCAGGGGAGCUGCUAUGGGAAGCAUGAGUACUUUGGAGGUAUUGAACUCGUCGUUUGUGCCUGUACAGAAGGACAAUCAUUGAGCUACUGGACCAAGUGAUGAGACCAGAAAACAGAAUUUCAGGAAACACAAAAAAAGUUGUAUAUAAUGAACCUGUGAUUUUGUCAUAUCCUACAAUAGUAUAGAGCUUGAAAUUUGUAUCCUUUGUUAUAUUUUUCCUACUUAAUGUUAUGGACAUGUACAAAGGGAAAAUAACAUUUAUAAUGAUGUACAAGACCCAGCAGAGAGAAAUGCAGAAACUAAUGUCCAUUGUAGACUUGACUCUAAGAUUUUUCAAACAGGAGUUUCUUGGCAUGAUGGUGAUAGCCUGGAAGACACUCAAGAGGCAGAUGGUGACAAUGGACAUGCUCCUGAAAACUCUUAGAACAUACAUAAAAAAAUGAUAGCUCCAAUCAUUAAAGAAAAGUUUCAAGCCAAAACAUCCCAUUGUGGUAGCCAAUCCUUUAGAGAGAAUGAUCAAGAUGUUAACUAUGAUCAGAUGCAUGAGAAUCAAAUCCAUGGGCUUUAUUUUGUGUUUCUUAUAGUAAAUAAUCAAGUAGUAGAAAAUGAGAGAGAUGUUUCCUAGAAGUCCAACUACACUCUGUAACAGAUAUGUUAUUCCUACUCCCAAAUUCCUGGCAUCCAUACUGUUACUGAGAAAAACUGACUUCAAAAUAUGCUGCCAAACAUUUCUCAGAGAAAAAUGAUGAUUAUUUUUGUAUCUUAAAUGGUACUAUGCAGCAGUUUUCCCAAAUAAACAAGAAUCAUAUUAGCUGAAGACUGAAAACCCAUAGUUGUCCACAGAACAAAAUACUGCUUACAUUAACUUCCACAGUUAUUGAAAUACUAAUAAAGUUCAACCUGAAUUAGUUAAGUCUUCAAGUGCACAUAUUGAUGGAGUAAUUUCCCAUUAUAUAUUUUGUAAUGUCAGGAUUAAGGAUAGGGCAAAGUAAUCCUGGUAGGGAAAAUGACAGGUUAUCUCAAAAUGAAAGAAUGCUCAAUUCUACAAACCCACCCAUCUUGCAGAAUUCUUCUCUUAUCUGGGCAUCUUUCUUCAAGGAAGAAAUCUAUUGGGAAUGAUUCUUUUAUAUCAACAUUAAAACUGACAGUAUUCGAACAGGAAAGAACUUGUUUUCUCUUCUUGAAUAAUUAUGUUUAUUAAGUAGUACUCAUCAUGAAAUGAGCAUGAAGAAUUACAUGUUACAUUAAUAGUUAAUUUUUUAAAUACUGCUUUUCCCAUGCAGAUGUAGAAGUACUGAUACAGAAUUAGGAUAAGAGUGGGUGGAGGACAUAUGUUCUGUACAAAGAAUUGUACUUAACACAAUGGAGAUAAAAUAAGUGAAUUAUUCUAACAGAAAUUAGUUAGAUGAAGGUAAUACUCAAAAUAACAUACAUUAUGCAAAAAGUACACUGUUCCUAUCUGAUCUACUAUCUGGCACUAUACAGCAUCUGAAUAGCCAUAAAAAGUUGAAGUAAAAAUAAUAUGAAAGAAUAACUUUUGGUUCACAUGUUGAAACAAGAAUACUUGCUAUGGAGUUCACAUUGCUUCACACAUUUCCCAAAUUAAAGGCUGUUAGAAGCUGUAAGAGGUAUAUACUUUCAACCUGAAAAACUAGCAUUUAAGGAGCAGACUUCAUAGGCAAUAUUUAGAAUUUGCACGCAAUGAAUGACUUGAAAGCAAAUAAAUUCAAAGCUGUACUUAAGAAAAAAGCAAUCGCAGGAACCAGGUGGUUUCUGCCUAUGCCCUAAACUGAACUGCACCAGUCCCAAAGCUCCCUGUACCCAAAUCCUGUCGGGGAGAGAGCUGGACACUCAGAAGUGCUGACAAUUCUAAGAACGCAGAGGAGACAACUACUUUCUGCUCACAUUCCUGACCCAAGAAGAAAUCACUUAGUACCAUCUGUGCCCUCUUAGUACAGAGAACUAGAAGCAGUCAGGGGCAGGACACUUUGGGUUUUUGUCUGCACCAGAAACCUGAGAGCAGAGGUAAAACCAACUCUUCUUCAACAAGCAACCCCCCUGGAUGCUUCAGAUCACACAAACAAAGAAACAGGUCUCUGUUUCCAUAUCAGGCUGAAAGAAAACAGGUAUACAGGAGUGCUGGCACACAGGCAUAAAAAAGGAUUAAGCCACAGUCAGAAACAGCAAGGCAAGCUAUCAUAAGAAACAACCUGAUAGAAAGAAGAAAGCACAACAAGCUAAGCAACAGAAACCAAGACUACUUGGCAAAAUCAGAGCCCAGUUCUUCCUCCAAAGCAAAUAGUGGAUAUCCAAACACACUUGAAAAGAAAGAUUUGUAUUUAAAAUAACAUUUUAUAAUGAUGAUGGAGGACAUUAAGGAGGACAUAAAUAACUCCUUUAAUGAAAUACAAAGUCAGAACAAGUCAACAAGUAGAAGUCCCUGAAGAGAAAACACAAAAAUCCCUUAAAGAGUUACUGGAAAACACAACCAAACAGGUGAAGGAAUUGAACAAAACCAUCCAGGACUUAAAAAUGGAAAUAUAAACAAUAAAGAAAGCACAAAGUGGGGUUGGGGAUUUAGCUCAGUGGUAGAGCGCUUGCCUAGGAAGCGCAAGGCCCUGGGUUCGGUCCCCAGCUCCAAAAAAAAAGAACCAAAAAAAAAA
rnacentral:lncRNA from 1 species